rnacentral:Y_RNA from 1 species
GGCUGGUCCAAUGGUAAUGGGUUAUCAGAACUUAUUAACAUCAGCAUCACCAAAGUUGGUAUACAACCCCCCCACUGCUAAAUUUGACUGACUUAAA